GACGAACUGUCCUAACGUUGUUCGGAAUCACUGGGCGUAAAGGGCGCGUAGGCGGCCACCGCAAGUCAGUUGUGAAAGCUCUGGGCUUAACCCAGAAAGGUCAACUGAUACUGCGGGGCUAGAGUGCAGAAGGGGCAACUGGAAUUCUCGGUGUAGCGGUGAAAUGCGUAGAUAUCGAGAGGAACACCUGCGGCGAAGGCGGGUUGCUGGGCUGACACUGACGCUGAAGUGCGAAAGCUAGGGGAGCGAACGGG
rnacentral:rRNA from 1 species